GAACACAGGAAAGGAAGAGCAGCGUGCCAGAGAUCUUUUCUUUGCUCUUUGGAUUCCGGAUCUCUUCAUGAAACGAGUGGAGACUAAUCAGGACUGGUCUUUGAUGUGUCCAAAUGAGUGUCCUGGUCUGGAUGAGGUUUGGGGAGAGGAAUUUGAGAAACUAUAUGCAAGUUAUGAGAAACAAGGUCGUGUCCGCAAAGUUGUAAAAGCUCAGCAGCUUUGGUAUGCCAUCAUUGAGUCUCAGACAGAAACAGGCACCCCGUAUAUGCUCUACAAAGAUUCCUGUAAUCGGAAGAGCAACCAGCAGAACCUGGGAACCAUCAAAUGCAGCAACCUGUGCACAGAAAUAGUGGAGUACACCAGCAAAGAUGAGGUUGCUGUUUGUAAUUUGGCUUCCCUGGCCCUGAAUAUGUAUGUCACAUCAGAACACACAUACGACUUUAAGAAGUUGGCUGAAGUCACUAAAGUCGUUGUCCGAAACUUGAAUAAAAUUAUUGAUAUAAACUACUAUCCUGUACCAGAGGUAUGAAUAGAUUUCUCUUCUUAUUGGUAAUUAUUGAAAUCCAAAUUGAAAGGAAUCAAUCAUGAUCUUCAAGUCAUCAUUUAAAUGGUUAUCAAUAAAAUGGUUUGAGAAAAAGA
rnacentral:sRNA from 1 species